UAUCCCUUCUAGGGUUCUAGGCGAACACAGUCGUCAUAAAAGCGUUUUAAACUAAUAUACUUUAAUUGAAAUAGCUCGGUUGAAAGCGUUAAAUAUUGAUCUAGCUGCGAUGCCAAUCGUUUACGACGGGGUAUUACGUUUGUCUGUCUGUCUGUGGCAUCGUAGCUCGUAGAUUUAGUUUUUUUUUGUUUGAAAGCUGAGUUAGUCGGGAGUAUUCUUAGCCAUGUUUCAUGAAAAUCGGUCUACUAUGUCGGGGGUUUUUCAAAAUUGUAAUUUUGUGUUUAUCUAAUUAUAUUACUGAAAUAAGGACUAGUAAUAAAAUUAGUAUAUGUUGCGACUACAUUGUAUGGCACCAAUCAUGUGCUAUCCUUGCCAUUUUGACUGAGAAUUUUGUUAUGAGACCUAAAUUUUCGAGAUAUCUCGAGUUUGAGUUCGAGAUAUCUCGAGUUUGAGAAGACCACGAGUUCAGCUCGACAACUACAAUGCAGAAGAAUACAGAGUAGACGCUAAGGAGGAGGAGAAGAGAAGAUUGACUAAGGAUGGCCGCAUCAGUCUUAAGGCGAGCAGAGUGGUAGAAAAAGUGGUACUUUAGUCAUUUUAAUAAUUCCUUUAGAUUCUUUAUAACUCUGAUUGUAAAAUGUUUAAAAAUCUGAUAUUUUGUAUGACCGUCAA